rnacentral:rRNA from 1 species
GUCCUUUUGAUUUUUAUAUAAGGUCUGACCUGCCCUAUGAAUAUUUAAAUGGCCGCGGUAUACUAACCGUGCAAAGGUAGCAUAGUCAUUUGUCUCUUAAUUGGAGGCUUGAAUGAAGGGUUGGACGAGAUAUAAGCUUUCUUUGUUAUAUUUUAUUGAAUUUGACUUUUGAGUUAAAAGGCUUAAAUUUUUUUAUAGGACGAGAAGACCCUAUAGAAUUUUAUAUAUUUGUAUAAUCGAUUUAUUUAUUUAUUAUUUAAUUUUUUGUUUAAAUAUAUUUUGUUGGGGCGAUGGGAAGAUUUUAAUAACUCUUUUUUUGUUCUAAUCAUUGAUUUAUGUUUUAUUCUGAUCCUUUUUUAGAGAUUAUAAGAUUAAAUUACCUUAGGGAUAACAGCGUAAUUCUUUUGGAGAGUUCUUAUCGAUAAAAGAGUUUGCGA